CGACAACAGCUUAUUGUUAUUGUACAAUAUUACAUGAGAGCCGAUUAGAGAAUCUAGUAUAUUUCAUCGCUAAAAGUAAGGUUAUGAUGAGAAGGAACAUAACCUCACUUUCCCUUGGUUGCCUGCUUCGUUGCCUUCGUUUGGAUUCCCACUGUGGUUUCGACGCGGUUUGUCUGCCACGUUCUCACGUUGCGAUGAUAUGAUGCGUCUGCGUCGAUUCCGAGUGUUUAGGAGGACGCAUGUACGUUUUGCACAUAAAAUUAACCACCAUCAUCGUGCAAUAUCAAAACAAACCUUCGUUUUCAAUUUUGCAGGAUGAAAAUUUCCUUCUGCUUGCGAUAGGUUAGGAACUAAACAAAGCCAGCAUAUUUUUUGCAAACGACACAUGACUCGAGUCGUCCAAGGUGCAGAAAUCAAUGCAGCUGCACUUAUCGAUCACACGGACUUGCAAAAUUACAGGAAAUAUGACUUCUCUGGUCGCUAAUUGUUUCCCCCAUAAACAAUAUAUUCCGUUGCAAUGCAUGCUGCCCAAUCAACGUGAAAGCUUCUUCAUUCCGCGUGAUUCAAACAUCACAUAGGUGGCAGGAUAAAUAAUCAUGGACGCUCUAUUUAUUGCAGUAGUCUAGCCAUUUUUUGAAAUUAUCCGCGAGCAUUUCGUGAUAUCGUGUUCACUUGCAAAACGAGAUUUAAUAUCCACAUAGUCAAACAACUAGUAAUAAGACGGUUUAAUCGAUUUUACUCGCAAAUUAUGUUAUAUGUUUGCCAGAACUUGUAUUUUUAGGAAUAUGCAGGAAAACUGAUACGGCAGUUC